AAGAAAUCAGUUUUUCAGAACACCCGUUCAUUUCGGGCCUACUCCAAGGUCGGGUUCGGGUUCUAAAUUUUAGCAUGCACGAGUUCGGGUUAUACCCGAGCUUGACCGAGUUUAUUUUUAAAAAAAAAUUGAACCCUAAAAAAUAAAAUAAUUUAUUAUCUUUCUCUCUCACUCACGCACGGGGCAGCCUCUCUCCACUCCACCCACACACACAAACGACAACACCAGACCGGACCGACCCUCCCUCGCCCUCGCUCCCUCACGGCUUCACCACCACCACCUCUCUCCAGUGAAUUUAUCUCUCACGUACGGGCAAGACCCACCACAACCACCUCCUCGCACCGCCGCAGUAGACCCCGCAGGCGCAGCCAGCCACCGACCACCUCCUCCCAUACUCAGGGAGCACACCGGCCCAACAAGGACCUCCUCCCACCGCCGCCACAGUGUCACCGGUGCAGCCACUAGCUAGCCGACCACCUCCUCUCCUCCCAUACUACUCAAUGAGCACACCUUUAAUUAUUUAUAUUUUAUUUGAGCGAAAUCAGACUAGUCUAAAGUAAAGCCAGUGUUUUUACUUUGAAGCUUAAGGUAAAUAUAUUAUCUUUGUUAUAUUGGAUUAUAAUAUAUAAGCUUGUCUGAAUGUGUGCUCCAUGUUAUAGUAGAUACUAGAUAUUAGGUUUGUUCAUUGCUGUGUGCUGCUUUUAUUGUAGUAGAUUAUAGGCUUGUGUGCUGCUCUGUUGUAGUGGAUUAUACUUUAUAGGCUUGUGUGUUGCUCUGUUGUAGUGAAUUAUAGGCUUGUGUGUUGCUCAGUUGUAGUGGAUUAUAGGCUUGUGUGGUGUUCUCUUGUAGUGGAUUAUAGGCUUGUGUGUUGCUCAGCUGUAGUGGAUUGUAGGCUUGUGUGAGGCUCUAUUGUAGUGGAUUAUACGCUUGUGUGAUGCUCUGUUGUAGUGGAUUAUAGGCUUGUGUGUUGCUCUGUUGAUUAAUUUCUUCUUAAAUAUGCUGCAUUAGGUAAGGGCUAUUGAUGAGGUAGAUGAAACUCUUCCUCCAAUAGAUGAUAAAGGUCAACUGCCUCUCACUCAGACUGAAAACCCUACUCCUACUGAAAAUGGUAGAAAAAUUAGGGUUAGAAAGAGGAGUAGACCUCCCAUCCCUACUGGGAAAACAAAGGGAAAAUGGUCAUCUGUUUUGGAUUAUUUUAUUAAGGAAGAUCCUCCUCCACCCCCAACAGAUCCUAACGAAGAGCCUCAUCCCCCCAAGUGUAUAUGUAAUUAUUGUGGGUCUGACUUCUUGUGUGACACUAGAAAACAUGAGACUAGUCAUUUGUAGAACCAUUUUAAGAAAGUAUGCGAGCUAAGUCUGUUUAAGAUUGAUGAGCAGAAAUAAAAAACUUUAAGCUUUCAGCAUGUAAAGGGAGAGAAAGAGGGGGAAACAAGCUUAGUAGUGGUAUCUUAUAACAAAAAAGCUAGGUAGCCCCCACACAAUAUAUUGUGAUGAGUUGUCAUUUAGACAUGUCGAGGGUGAAGGGUUCAAAAGAUUUGUCAAAACACUCCAACCUAGGUUUGAGAUCCCUUCUCGACUGAUUGUUGCUAGGGAUGUAUUGAAGUUAUAUAAGGAAGAGAAUGUGACAUUGAAAAAUAUUUUGAGCCGUGAGAAGAUAUCGAUUACUACCGAUACUUGGACUUCCAUUCAAACUUUGAAUUACAUGGUCAUCAUUGCUCAUUAGAUUGAUAAUGCUUAGGAGUAUCAGAAAAUAAUUAUCAAUUUUUGUCAAGUGGUAGACCAUAAAGGGGAAACGAUUGGCAAUUAGAUCGAGUUAUGUCUUUUAUAGUGGGGCAUCUCUAAGUUGUUUACCAUUACAAUAGGCAAUGUUUCCUCUAAUGAUGUUGUCAUUAGAUACUUGAAGAUGAAGUUCAAAGAGAAAGUGAGUGGACGGAUGGAAUUUUUUUACAUAUGAGGUGUUGUGCUCAUAUAGCGAACAUAAUUGUCGCUAAAGGGUUGAAUGAAAAACAUGGGUCAAUUACAACAAUUAGAAAUGUUGUGAGGUUCGUUAGGUCUUCUCAUUCUAGGCUAAAUUUUUUUAAGAAGCGUGUGAUGGAGGAAAUAAUUGAAUGUAAAGGGAUUCUGUGUUUAGAUAUCCCAACAAGGUGGAACUCCACAUAUCUAAUGCUUAAUUGUGCAAUGAAAUUUCAGAAGACAUUUGACAGGAUGUAAUCAGAUGCUAAUUAUAUGAAAUAUUUUGAUGAGGUUGACAAAGAUGAAAAACCAAAGGAGGGGCUCCCAGUGAUGUUGAUUGUGAUAAUGCUCUAGUGUUUGUAAGGUUUUUGGAGACUUUUUACGAAAUAACAUUAAAGUUUAGUGGGUCUACUUAUGUUACUGCUAAUAAGUACUUCAUUGAUAUCUACAAUAUGCAAUAGGAGUUGUAUGACUUAACAGUCAACGAUGAUGAGAACGAGUUAUUGAGGACAAUGUCAACGAGCAUGAAACUAAGGUAUGACAAGUAUUGGGGAAAACUUGAUAAUGUAACGAGGCACUUCUAAUUGCCUUGGUCCUUGACCCAAGAUACAAGCUUGAGUAUCUCAAUCAUUGCUUUAAUGCUACUUAUGAUGAGAUGACAUGCAAAGAGAUGGUGAAAAAGGUUGAGCAAACAAUACGAACAAUGUUUGAUCAAUAUAAUGAGACAACAUCAAGUCUUCAUCCAUUGACAUCUACGACUCAGCUACAGUCUCAAUCUAUUGUUAGUGCUUCAUCCACCUUCGUCAUGCUUAUUAGUGCUUCAUCCACCUACUGCCAAGAAGUCACGUAAUUUGCAUGAUGAGUUUGUGGCACGAAGAUUGGAGAAGGAUGAUGGAAUGACAAAAAAUGAGGUCGAUAAAUAUUUGGAAGAGGAACCUAAGCGACCAAGUGAGAAUUUUAAUGUUUUGGGAUGGUGGGCUAGUAGUGGGUGCAAGUACAAGAUCUUAUCACUUAUGGCUCGUGAUGUGAUAGUUAUACUGGUUACCACCAUUGCUUCUGAGGCAACAUUUUCUAUAGGAGGUCGAAUUUUAGAUCCUUUUAGAAGCUCACUAAGCACAAGGAUGGUCGAAGCAUUAAUUUGUCUCAAAAUUGGUGGAGCAGAUCACAUCAACCCAUCAUUGUUUGAGACUAUAUGGAUGAAUAAUAAGCGCUUCAAACAUCAGAGUAUCUUGAGUCAGAGAUAACCGAUGAUCCUACAAGUGUUGGGCCAACUUCAUCCUCUGUCAAUUUCAGUCUUCAGCCUCAUCAACUACACAACAAUCUACGAAUUGAAAAAAUUGCUUGAAAGAAGGAAAGGAAGGAAGGAGUGACCAUACAUAAUACUAAUCUAUUUCUUUGUAUUUUGAAUUUUCAUGGACUUUAUGUUAGAGUUAUGAACUUUAUAGACUUUAUUAUGGUUGUAGUUAACUAGUUAUGUACUUUAUGGACUUUAUGUUUGUUUAUGGUUGUAUUUUGAGACUUUUGGCAUUUUUAUAUUUGUAAUUUGGACAUUAGAUAAUAGAUAAUAGGUAAGUGAUUGGACU